UACGUAGGGAGCAAGCGUUGUUCGGAAUUACUGGGCGUAAAGGGCUCGUAGGUGGCCAACUAAGUCAGACGUGAAAUCCCUCGGCUUAACCGGGGAACUGCGUCUGAUACUGGAUGGCUUGAGUUCGGGAGAGGGAUGCGGAAUUCCAGGUGUAGCGGUGAAAUGCGUAGAUAUCUGGAGGAACACCGGUGGCGAAGGCGGCAUCCUGGACCAUUACUGACGCUGAGGCGCGAAAGCUAGGGGAGCAAACGGG
rnacentral:rRNA from 1 species